UGUCUUUUGUGUUGAAUAUAAAAGGUAAGACCUGCCCACUGAUUAUUUAUUGAAGGGCCGCAGUAUUUUGACUGUGCUAAGGUAGCAAAAUCAAUAGUUUUUUAAUUGGAAACUUGUAUGAAAGGUUUAAUGUAAAAAUAAUUGUUUUUUAUUAAUUAAUGAAUUUUUAGGUUAGGUGAAGAUACUUAAAUGUAAUUAAAAGACGAGAAGACCCUAUUAAGUUUAAUAAUGAUGUUUAUUGUUAGUGUAAGGUGUAUGGCCAUUGUUAUUUAGUUGGGGCAACUUAAAGAUUUAACUUUUUAUUUUAAUGAUAUUUGUGAGUAUAAUUUCUAUUAACCAUUAUUAUGAAUAAAAAAUAAAUUACUGUAGGGAUAACAGCGUAAUUCUAUUAUAGAGUUCUUAUCGAUGAUAGAGUUUGCGACCUCGAUGUUGGAUUAAGAUUCCUUUUUGGUGUAGCAGUUGAAAUAGGAAGUCUGUUCGACUUUUAAAAUCUUACA
rnacentral:rRNA from 1 species